rnacentral:rRNA from 1 species
UACGUAGGGUGCGAGCGUUAAUCGGAAUUACUGGGCGUAAAGUGUGCGCAGGCGGCCGAGCAAGUCGAGUGUGAAAGCCCCGGGCUUAACCUGGGAACUGCGCUCGAAACUACUUGGCUGGAGUGUGGCAGAGGGAGGUGGAAUUCCACGUGUAGCGGUGAAAUGCGUAGAGAUGUGGAGGAACACCGAUGGCGAAGGCAGCCUCCUGGGCCAACACUGACGCUCAUGCACGAAAGCGUGGGGAGCAAACAGGAUUAGAUACCCUGGUAGUCCACGCCCUAAACGAUGACGACUAGUUGUUGGAGGAGUUAAAUCCUUUAGUAACGCAGCUAACGCGUGAAGUCGUCCGCCUGGGGAGUACGGUCGCAAGAUUAAAACUCAAAG